rnacentral:tRNA from 1 species
GCUGGUAUAGCUCAAUUGGUAGAGCACCCCACUUGUAAUGGGAAGGUUGCGGGUUCAAGUCCCACUACCAGCU